AGCUGGCCGUACUGGUUCAUUACUUCGGCCAUAAGUCGCCCCAAAUGCCUUCUGCACAUAUAAAGCUGAACCUUUGGAGCUUAUACACUAUUUAUAUAUAAGAUAUUUGAUGAUAUCACCAUGAGACGGCCCGCUGUUGCAUUCAACUUAGGUCAACGGGGCAUUCGUUCAUUCUUGACCAAAGCAAACGGCUCAGAAACUCCGCAGACGCAAUGCCCCAAACAUUUAGAAGAAGAAUUAGAUAAUACAGAAGACAAGGAUAGGCAUGCCGCAGUUGCCGCUCUUGAAGUCAGUGAAGCCAGCGAUUUGAGCGAAGUUGAGGAUCCCCCGGCGAAGCGGCCACGCACAACGCAGUACUGCAGCAAUCAGCGAC
rnacentral:lncRNA from 1 species